rnacentral:rRNA from 1 species
GACGGAGGAUGCAAGUGUUAUCCGGAAUCACUGGGCGUAAAGGGUGCGUAGGCGGUCGGGUAAGUCUGAUGUGAAAUCUCACAGCUUAACUGUGAAACUGCAUUGGAUACUAUUCGGCUUGAGAGUUGGAGGGGGGACUGGAAUUCUUGGUGUAGCAGUGAAAUGCGUAGAUAUCAAGAGGAACACCAGUGGCGAAGGCGAGUCCCUGGACAACUUCUGACGCUGAGGCACGAAAGCUAGGGGAGCAAACAGG